rnacentral:rRNA from 1 species
CCUACGGGUGGCUGCAGUGGGGAAUUUUGCGCAAUGGACGAAAGUCUGACGCAGCAACGCCGCGUGGGUGAUGAAGGUCUUCGGAUCGUAAAACCCUGUCGUCAGGGACGAAGGUCGCAUGUCUAAUAGAUGUGUGAUUUGACGGUACCUGGAGAGGAAGCCCCGGCUAACUCUGUGCCAGCAGCCGCGGUAAUACAGAGGGGGCAAGCGUUAUUCGGAAUUAUUGGGCGUAAAGGGCGCAGAGGCGGGUGUAAUCCCCGAGCUUAACUUGGGAACUGCAUCUCAGACUGUGUCGCUAGAGUGCUGGAGAGGGUGGUGGAAUUCCACGUGUAGCGGUGAAAUGCGUAGAGAUGUGGAGGAACACCAGUGGCGAAGGCGGCCACCUGGACAGUAACUGACGCUGAGGCGCGAAAGUGUGGGGAGCAAACAGGAUUAGAUACCCCAGUAGUC